GCUCAAGGUCAAACAAUUCCGCAUGUUGGUAUUUAUCUACCGGAUUCUGUAUUUUCACACGGGCAACUUUAUGUGGCGUUAUCAAGAGGGAUUUCAAGACAAAAUACGAAGGUGUUGGUACAUCUCGCCAAAGAUUUCAAACAACGUGGAGUUUACACAUCAAAUGUUGUCUACCAUGAAGUGUUGCGUGAUUAAUUAACCGCAUCCAUAUCAAAAGGAAGUAGAGGAGAAGAUACAAGAAAGUCUUGAGCGAACGGAUGUAUUGGUAAAACAGGAAGAGAUACAAGAGACCCCCCGUAUUUUGUUUUUAGUGUUUUGUCCAGCUACUUGCCUGUUUUGUACUCUUCUUGUUUUUAAUUAUAUCUACUUCCUUGUUUUGCA